AUUGAACGCUGGCGGCAGGCCUAACACAUGCAAGUCGAGCGGAUGAAGGGAGCUUGCUCCUGGAUUCAGCGGCGGACGGGUGAGUAAUGCCUAGGAAUCUGCCUGGUAGUGGGGGAUAACGUCCGGAAACGGGCGCUAAUACCGCAUACGUCCUGAGGGAGAAAGUGGGGGAUCUUCGGACCUCACGCUAUCAGAUGAGCCUAGGUCGGAUUAGCUAGUUGGUGGGGUAAAGGCCUACCAAGGCGGCGAUCCGUAACUGGUCUGAGAGGAUGAUCAGUCGCACUGGAACUGAGACACGGUCCAGACUCCUACGGGAGGCAGCAGUGGGGAAUAUUGGACAAUGGGCGAAAGCCUGAUCCAGCCAUGCCGCGUGUGUGAAGAAGGUCUUCGGAUUGUAAAGCACUUUAAGUGGGGAGGAAGGGCAGUAAGUUAAUACCUUGCUGUUUUGACGUUACCAACAGAAUAAGCACCGGCUAACUUCGUG
rnacentral:rRNA from 1 species